AACGAUCCCCCCACCCCCAUUUCAGUCGUCUUCCUCACUCCUCUCACAACCGCCUCUAAACGCUAAGCUGCCGGUGGCGGCACCGGUCACCAAACCUAACCAAAAAUACACCAUGGAGUCUCCUCAAUACCUUCAUCUCGAAUCCCUGGUCACUUUCCCUCGAAUCGAACCAAAGCCUCUCGAAUCUUGAUUUUAAAGUCAGGCCCGAGUCUCAAAUUUGUCCAAAUGAGUCCAAAUUGUUAACAGAUGACUCACUGACCCUCCUCACCAUGAAUCGACAGCCAGAACUCAUCAAACAGUGCUGAGUCUCAACAAAUUUGAAUCUAAGGUUUUUCAUUCCGGGCUGGUUUGGUGAUUUCUUUUUCAAGACGAGUUAUUUUAGGUUGAUAUUAUGGGUUCAUUUCCUAUGAGAUGGACUUAUGAUAUCAAAUUGAAGUUAAUUUCAAAUUUUGUUUGAAGAUUUAAUUCUCAGUAAGUUUCUCUCUCUAUUUUUUUUUAGCUUUUUUAUUUUAAUUUGUAGUUCCAUUCAUUCAAUUGAGCCUACUCUAGUAUCAUGUUUAGGUAUCGUCAAGCCAUCGUUAUAUUUGUCUAAACGUUAGAGUAAUUCUUGGUUAAUUUCCUUAUUCUUGUUAGCAAGCUUGACUUCUGCCAUAUCUGGUCUUAAUUGGUAAUUUGUUGGUUUAAUUCCUAGGAUUUAGUUUAAUUUAAUUGAUUAGUUUAAGUCGAAUAUUUUGUGAACGCUGGGUUUUCUUGUUAGAUUUGUUCUUAAUACUAAUGCAUUCUGAUAGCUAGUCGACUCAAAUCUGCUUGAAUCUAUUUUGGUCUGCUGUUUAAGUAUAGUUCCUAGUGUCCUUUAUGUUUUGAUUUAGUAUGGUUCCAGUUCUUAAUUGUGGUUGCGUUUUAGUUCCAAUUUUCAUUUGUUUCACUUCGUGUUUUGUAAUCCACGAUUUCAGCUUCUGAUUUCAGUUUAUGAUUGUUGAUUUUAACGUUUUUAGUCAUUAUUGGUUGUGUUAGUUGUUAAAUAUUGGUACUAGUUUAGGCAUGUAGGUUAAUUUGUUAAAUUUUAGUUUGUUUGAUUGGUUAUAGCUGAUUUUAGAUUCACUAGGAUUAACUUUAGUUAAUUUGUUGACUGGAGGUAAAUGGUUGGGUCUGGUUGGUAAUUUCAGGGAAGAAACAAGGGCAUUUUAGGGAUAGAAAAGGGUAGUUUCUUUAGGAUUAGUAAUUUCAAAGCAAGGGUAAGGGUAGUUUAGGUAUUUGGAGGCUAGGGAAUUUUGCAUAACAAACUAAGAAGCAUCUAGAGUGGGAUGGAAGUUGAAUUUCAGUCUUUUUAGAAAGUACAACUUGGGGAACAAGUCAGAAAUCUAGGGAUAUCUAGGCAAAAAUGAAAAUUACAAAGGGGGUAAAGGGGAAAAAUAAAAUCUGUAAGGGCUGCCCUCAUUUGUGCCUAUAAAAGGGCAUCCCCUUUAGUUCAUUCACAAGUUUGGGAGCCUUAAAAUUUCGCCAAAAGGUGUUCUUCAAAGGGCAAAAUAAAACCUGCUAAGGGAUGCCAUAAUUUCUGCCUAUAAAAGGACAUUAAAUGCCUUGUAAAAGGGUCUUCAACUUUCAGCUCAAGAAAUCUGAUUUUCCCUUUAUUUUUAGCUUCAGAUUAGUUUCAGCAUUUAAAUACACAAAAAUACAAAAACAAUACAUACAGAAAAAAAAGAAAACAACAAAAAUAUUCACUGUUUCAUUGAUGAUCAGUCAAUUGUCCAGUUAUAGCUUCCAAAAUUCUUUCUCAUAGCCUAGUUUCAAAGGUUGUUAGUCUGUUUCGAGUUGGUUGUGCUUUAUUCCUGCUUGGAUUUGAACUUUUGGUUGUUUGCAUCUGCUGUUGGUAUUGUACAUUCAGUGUUUUAGAUUGCUGGGUCACUGUUGGUCAUUUUGGGUGCUACUAUUUUUCUGAAAACUUUUCUCCUGCUGAUGUGCCACAUCUGCUUGUUAACUGCUCCUGAUUCUCUCUUCAUCUGUUGUAAUUUGUCUUCAGGUACACAUUUCGCAAUUCCUUCAAUGUAGCUAUCCAAAUGAAAGGAAAUAAAGCGUGAUUGUUACUGUCUCAUUAGUUCAUUAUUGCUGUUAGUUUCAGAACUUAUUUGAUGUUUACUUUAGCCUUUUGUAUUGGAUUGACUGAAUGAACAAUUUGUAAUGAGCUUUAGGACUGUGAAACUGGAGGUCGUUCAUUGACCAUAGUGUAGUUUAGUGUUGUAUAUUUUUGUGUAAUUCCAUCCCUUCCCAAUUAGAGAUAGAACUAAUCUUAUUUUUUUGGCUUCAUAUAUGAAAUGGUAGUUUGUUCAUGCUUUAGGUAAUUAUAGAGUAGGUAUUCUAUUUGUUUUAUCAAUAAAACUGGAAUUGAAUGUGUUGAACGUUGGUAUGAGAAUUAUGGAUUAAACAUUGAGGCAAGGUUUUUUUUACUCGUUAAAUAACUGCAAUAGUGUUCAAAUGUUGG
rnacentral:lncRNA from 1 species